GUAAGUUAAUGUGGAACAGUCAUUAACAGACACGCAUAUGGUUUGAUUGACACUGGAUGGUAAACUGAGGCCCAGAGAACCCAGCAAAUUAACCCAAAGGGCACAAAGCCACCUGGGGGUGGGAGAAGGAACACCUGACCCCAGUCUCAUGCUUUUACCAGCUGAGCCACCUCACAGGUAAUCUUGCUGGCCUCAGCACAGCAUGAGAAGGCUGUGUUAUCCCAGGAGGUCAGAGGUUUUUCUUGCAGCAUAGCGUGCUCUGGCCAAUGGCAAAGUGAUCCCAUAUUUCUGUUGGAGAAGCCUGGGCUUGAGGCUUCCUUAUUCCCCUGCCACAGCCACCUAGGUCUGCUUGGCACACUGUCUGGGAAAGGACAUCCAGAGUACCAGGCAGAACAAGCUGUCACUAGUUCAGGGGCUGCAGUCACCCCGUGCAGCGUGAGGGAGAGCACGGAGUGGUCCAGGCUGCCUGCAUGGUCUCUGCCCUGUACAUGUUCCUAACCAGAGUUAUGGUCUCCAAGGGGCAGAUGGGCACAGCUCCAAGAGGACCGGAUCAGCACCAGGGCAGGCGUGUGCUCUGAAACAAAGCCCACCCCAGGAGGGGAAAAACAAGCUCUGAAGGCUCACUGACACUUUUGCAAACAUCCAACUUCAUGGAGACCCUAGCCCUGUGAACUGCCAGAAUCACUCACAGCAAUAGGUCCUGAGCACACUGAUGCCCAGCUGGCAGAGGCGGCUGCCCAGGUCUCAGCACGACAGCAAACUCCUGCAAAGCUAGAGUGCUCACCGUGACCCCAGCCUGGGCAGCACGCCUUCCUGGGCCAGGCCCACCUGACAUCUUCAAGGCCAGGUUUGGCUGCAGCAGCAAGGCCUCACUUGUCAACUCAGUGCCCUCCUCAGUCAUCUCCUCCCAGGGCCAGAGCCAGAGAGAAGGGAUAGAAGACAGGAGGAGGCCCACCUUCCCGGCUGAUGCCCACCUACUCUCAGCCACUCUUCAGGCCUGAGUUGCUGAGCCGACAGCAAGAUGAGAAUGAGGUUUGGAGCCGCCACUGUGGGCCGCAUUACUGCAUGGGCAGACUGCCCCCUGCAGGUCGGCGAGGGAAGGGCCCAGUGUAUCAGUGGUUCAGCAAUCCAGCCAGCAUCCUGGUCUAGCAUCCUCAUCCAGCAUCCCAGCCAGCUUCCUGGCCAGCAUUCAGGCCAACAUGAACAUACCUUCUCUGCGGUGCCCAGCAUAAGACCUGUUCUGGGAUAUAUGCCAAGUGGGCAUGGAGUGUUUUCUUCAGUGGGACACCAUCUGCUCACACCACUUCAUCCUCUGUGAGAUGUGUGUUGGAGAUGGAUGCAUAAUAA
ensembl:lncRNA